CUCAUAUUUUUUUGAACUAUUCGCCCAGCAUACAAGAAGUGCUGCAGAAGAUUUCUUUGCGUAGUAAUUAACUUUGAUUUUUUGCCAAAUAGACGAUUCCCGUCUGACCUAACCCCCCUUUUUUGUAUUUUUCUUUGAAAGACAAUCGGUUUUCAUGAUCAUUGCCGCUUUCAAAUAUUUUUUAUAUGUUUUCCUGAUUUUUAUACAAAUUUUUGAAAAUUCGGAAAAUCUCUCCAAUUUGAAAUAAAAAUCAUCGUGCGAAGUAGUGGAGCUCCACCCCUGGCCUGUGGAGAUAUUUUUUUUUUGAGAUCAGGCUUCCGACCCUGGCGGUCUUUCUGACAUGUUUACAUUUUGAAAUUAAAUCUCCAUCGCUGCUCGCUCAGUCUGCUCUUUUGUGGGCGAAUCGUAUUGCUCCAGUUUUGCUGGAAAUAUUUAUUGUUUUACAUACCUAAUUAAAAAAUAAUUGUGUACAUAUUGAGGCUCUAAAACAAAUAAAACCUUCCAAACAUUGUACAGUAACCCAUGCAACGGAAGUUGAUUUUCGGUUGACACUGGGAAUGUUCCUUCGAAAAGCACCACCUGUUGCAACCGGAAGAGGAGUAACCCAGUUGAAGUCCGCUUGCGUUCCGCUACUGAUUCCCAUUCUAUACUCUUCGAAACGCGUCACGAUGUGCAUCAGCAGCUAAAAACAGUUGCAGCAUAUGAAGGGAAGGCACUCCCAGGAAGCAAGGGAGGAAGGAAGAACACUCUUAUCAGUGCUUGGUUGUGACGGAUCGGAAGAAUACAAUGGAUGAGAUCAGUUCGUAUUUUAUUCUGAAGUAUUUGGCCUUCAUCGGAAUCUUAAACAAUUAUACCAAGAGCUAACUAUUCGUGGAUGCAAGGGGAACAUUGUUCCGGAAAUGCAGAAAUCUAAAUGAGCACCCGGCGAUCAUCCGGAAGAUGACGUAGAAGUUCGAUGAGGACAUCCACGAGUAUCCACCGACCAGGCAGCCGUGGAAGUAGAUGGAGUUGCCGUCACACGACCGUGUCACUAUCAAACUGAUGACGACGUUGGUGGGCAUGCCUCUGUUCGUCAGCUUCCAUAACGCCACCCGACAAUACGGCACGGAGUCGGGCAACCUGCUGACAUGCAUCGUUUCUUUUACAUCGUUAACAGGACAUUGCUGGAGAUUCGGGCCAGUCAGAAAAAGGAUCGGGAACGGAAUUCAAUUAUUAUUAUUUUAAUAAGUAGGUAAAUAAAACUGCUUCUUCCUAUUUUAUUUUUAUAUUUCUAAAGUAAGGGUGCGAGUACACUAUUUGUCCGAUUCAAAAUGUAUGUUCUGUGCAAACACCACCAUCCGAAGUUGGUUCUUCCGACCACUCCUGCUCAACCCUUGAUGGAUCUACCACGUCGCCCACCAUAGUUUUAACUGAAGCUUCGGGUUGCGACGUGGUCUCCCUCGGUUUUACGAUCCGGUCCGGCUUUCCCGGCGGAAUUCCGCCUCAAAAUAAAUCAUAACUGCGAAAUUUUGCGCGUCACUAAACUUCAGAGGAUUUGGUGAACGUUCUCAACUACAAGUUCUGAUUAUAUCUGCGUAUCGUGCGUCACCAAAACACUUCAGAGGACUUGGUGAACCUUCUCAACUACAAGUUCUGAUUAUAUCUGCGUAUCGUGCGUCACCAAACAACUUCAGAGGACUUGGUGAACCUUCUCAACUACAAGUUCUGAUUAUAUUUGCGUAUCGUGCGUCACCAAAACACUUCAGAGGACUUGGUGAACCUUCUCAACUACAAGUUCUGAUUAUAUCUACGUAUCGUGCGUCACCAAACAACUUCAGAGGACUUGGUGAACCUUCUCAACUACAAGUUCUGAUUAUAUCUGCGUAUCGUGCGUCACCAAAACACUUCAGAGGACUUGGUGAACCUUCUCAACUACAAGUUCUGAUUAUAUCUACGUAUCGUGCGUCACCAAACAACUUCAGAGGACUUGGUGAACCUUCUCAACUACAAGUUCUGAUUAUAUCUGCGUAUCGUGCGUCACCAAAACACUUCAGAGGACUUGGUGAACCU